AACUUGUUACCAAGUUCAGUGAGUUAACGUAUUUUUCGAGGGAGAAAUGUGUUGGUGUUGCUGACAGAAGAGAUUGUUUCGAGAAGUGUGCUGGUGUUGCUGACGGGAGAGCUAAUUUCUUGUAGAAGUGGAAGGAUUUCGUGAGUUGCUGUUAAGCUUGUGGGGUAAGGAUACGUUCAGUUUGAAUCUGCCCUUUACAUUUUGUUCAACGGUUGCAGAUUAAGUGUACUACUGUCUGCUUUCAUCUCGGCACUAUUUUUUAGUCGCGUCAUGAUUUUUUAGAUGUGGAGGAUGACGCACGUGAGUGAGUUCAAAUACUUAAUUGUCAAAGCUGAGGUGAGACCGGAGGUGGAAGACAAGUGGUCAGCCAUUAGUCGAGAUUGUCACAAGAUCACUCUUCAGUCCUUGAUUACUGGUGUUGAUGAACUCAGCAGCUAUUUGCUGUUAUUGAAGACUACGUUUGAAGUGGUGACCCACCAAGAAAUGUUUAUCCACAAAAGUCUCACUACCGUUGCAAUGUAUGAACUGAGUACCGAGAAGAAUAAGGUCUACAUUCAUUAGACUACGGUUGGAGUGCUGGCCCAAGAACCAAAGGAUUUUUUCGCUUAAAAUUGCCUGCAACUGUCUUAAUUUCAUAUAGACGACUGUGAUCAUCGUUUAAAGCUACCUUUUGAGGAGCUGACCUAGAUACCAAAUAACAUUUUCGCUGGAAACUGACUUGGUAGCUACUGUGGGCAGGCACUGCAUAUGAGAAUACCUUCACGCUUUGUGGCGAGACCACCUGGUAGCUUCGUACUGUUACCCGGAUGAAUGAUCAUAGUCUUCAGCUAGGAUGAUCUAUUUUUCCUCUAAGGUCUUGAAGUCCUGAACACACUCAUCGCCUAUUCCACGAUGAAAAAACUCAGGAAGGAUUAUUUGAUUUGAGCCUAUAUCUUACAGGUGCAAGUCUGUAUGUUACA